CAGAGUUCAGUUAACUGAACACCCAAAAGAAGGAGAAUCCAGUUCGCUCGAUUCCUUAGGGGCUCCACUUGUGUGGGACAGUACUAAAAGAGUCCUUUUGUGGUUAGUUUUGGACUCACCAAGCCACGGCUGGGUGACAACAGAAGAGGAAUCACAAAUAUUAUCCAAAUGGCAAAGACGAUUGCCUGGCACACUUGCCAGCAGCCCAGCCAAUGGAAAUCUGAAUUUCCUUAACCUCCUUUUCUCCAACCUAUUUCUGUAACAUCGCGGCAGCUUCCUGGAGACAGCCAGAGAAUCCACAGCUCCUAGUAUCAGAAGGCACAGGUAGGGGUGGCUUUGAGCAAUUUUGAGCAAGCCGAAGGCUCCAAUUAAAAGGAAAGGACAGAGAGCGGCAAGCUGUUCAAGUCAAACCGAAUGACUGCAUAUCCUCCGCGAGGCAGUUGGAAGGAAUCGUGUUUUACCUCACUACUGCUGCGCUCCUCCUCGCCUGUCAGCCAGCCAAGGGAUCCCCCAAAGCUCUUACGUAGGAGAUACCAAAUCUGUGAGUCACUUUGCAAUCCCAGAGCAGAGCAAGUCCACUGUAUUUUGCACGCAACCACAGAGCCAAGAUGGGGGUUUCCUCGGAGUCAUCAAGAUGAGGUCUCGGGACCCAGAUGCCCAGCCAGCCCUGGCUUCUUGUUUCUUGCUGUUGCUCCCUCUUUCUCUUCCUCCUUGACCAUGCCUUCACCUGGAAGCGUUCUGCUGUGUUCCUCUUCCUCUCUGUGCUGCUGACAGCCACAGACCCAGCCAGAGCUGGGUCCCUCUCGCCUUCUGUUAGUUUUCUUCCCCUGCAGCAGCCUUUGGCUGCUACCUCUGCGAGCUGGAUCACCAAAGACACACGACUCACUCACAAUGAAUAAUCAAUACGGAUAUUGAUCUGGGGAAAAUGUUUGUAAAUUCCUGAAAGGGAAUCAGGAGCAGGGGCCAGGGAGGCUCGUGGGGGACGACGCUGCAGUGCUCAGGGCGCCAGGAGGCAGAACCGCUCUUGGAUCCCCAGGUUUUGCUGGCUCCAAGGUGACGGUACCGGAAUGCGUGCGGAUGGACGAGGGCGCGCGCGUGUGAGCACAGUGCUGCCUUCUCAUUUCUCUACAGCUGCUUCCCCCGAAGAAUCAAGAGCCAAAUGGUCGGGAGCCCCCGUCAGCGCCAUGUCUUGGCUGCGGGCCAGCACUGUUUUGUUUUCAUUAUCACACGCUACUUUGCAAUUUGCAUAAAUACAGGGUUAUUUUUUAUCGUGUCGCCCAAAAGAUAGGAAAAAAAAAAAAAAAUAGAAGUCUUUGUUGUGUGCAAGGGGGGCUUGCUGCCUACUCAUCGGGACUGAAGAUUUACCUCCCAGGCAGGGCUUUGGAGCCGGUGUAGAGGGCUUCAGGAGAAAUAGGGCAAAAAAGUGAUAAUCACAGAGAAAAUGAAUGCAGGAGAGAAAGAAAGAAUUUAAUGAAAGCUGCAGGGCACUCAGCUCGGUCGGGGAAACCAAGUGUUAAGGACCCACUUUCCUUGGUGGAGAAGUGGUAGGGUCUUAGACAAGGAGGGAGAGGUCUCUGGCCAGGGGCCUGGUGAGAGGCACUACGGAUUGUGUGGGAAUGAACCGUGGUGCAUGAGGCGAGAGCCACGUACCCCAGAGAGCACGCGCUGGCUUUAGCCCCAUGGCCAUCCAAGAUGCGGAAACCUGAGCACAGAUGGAGCCGGGUCUCUCAGCUGAUGGCUUUCCCGUAGCUCAGAGCUUUUACUCCUGGUCAUUUUCUUUACCUUCCCUGCAGUAGUUCAGUUACACUCCCUGAAUUGUACCCAGCCAAGCUUUGAAUGGAAUUUGCCACCUCCCCUUAGCUCUCUUGCCCUCAGAAGAGUGGGCACAGCGCAUGAUAAGCCGUGGCUUUGUCCUGCAUACUCCUCUUGGCUGUGGCCAUGAGGCCUCAGACUCCCGAAGUCGUGCCCCAAAGCAGUACAGGACGUGCUCACCGCAGGAAAACCUUCCGGCUCUCUUGGCCUUUGGGUGAUCGGCAUCCCCCCGACUGUGCCCUCUGGUCCUUUCUUCUCUCCCUCCUCACUCUGUUUUUGCAAUCUGGUAAUAAAAUGUCUCUUUGGAAUCA